UUGAAAUGAAAAAAAAAAAAAAAACCAAUUCAUCUAGGCUCGGAAUGAUCCAUGAAGCUUAAACGUCGCCGUUUUACGCACAAAUAAGCCCAGCUCGUCCCCCUCUAAUACCCAAAACGGCACCGUUUUAACCAAUAAAAUAAACCUAACUCUAGCCGUACACUAUAAAACCAUCCUUAUGUCUUCAGCCACCCAUUCGGCCUUCACCAACCCUAACUCCUCUCUCUCUCUCUCUCUCUCUCUCUCUCUCUAUGUGUGUGUCUUAGUUUUUCUAUCUUUGUUAGUUCAUCGCACAUUUUUUUUUUGAAACUUACGAAUCUGAGGUUAGUUCAUCGCACAGAUCUGCGGUUUUAUGAUCUGCACAAAUCUGAGGAAUUUUUUUUUUCCCCUCGCGUUCCAUGUAUAUUCGCUUUGUAUACCCUCAUAUGCAGGAACUUUUCUUGCGUAUGAUUUCUUCUAUUUUGUUUUCUUGUUCUUCGGCGUUUGAUGUUCAAAAGCUUUGUAUUUUUCAUGUAUAUUGACUUCUUUUUCAGAUCUGUAGAAGGAUUUUUGUUUUUUUUGGCGUUAGAUGUUAAUUGGCUUUGUAUUCUUCACAUCUGUAGAAAAAAAAUAAAUUUCUUGCGAUUUGUGUUCCUAGAGUUUUUCUAUUUUUUAUUCAAGUUUGUUUUCGUUUUUCCUUCCGUUUGAUUUCUUCUGUUUUUAUUUCUUGUUGUUUGGCGUUUGAUGUAAAUUAGAUUCGUAUUCUUUAGAUCUGCACAACAAUUUUUUUUUUUCUUUCGAUCUAUGUUCCUAGGGUUCAUCUGUUUUCGAUUCAAGUUUUUUUUUUUCUUUCCUUUUAUUCCUACUAUUUUUUUUUUCAUGUUCGGUGUUUGAUGUAUAUUAGUUGUCUUUUUCAGAUCUGCAUAGCAAAAUUUUUUUUCCUUCUGAUCUUCAGCCUAGAGCAGUCUUUGUUCCAUGUAGCUCACCCUCACAUGCUCUCUCCCUCACGACUUUUCCACCACCUUCGUGCUUCUGUGGAGCCACCAUGAACAACCCGACGGACAGAUCUUUGAAGGGCGGUCAAGCAAAACGACAGCAAGCACAACGAAGUAAACAAUAAAACUAAGGGGCAAAAUUGGAAACAAAACAGGAGAAAAAAUCAGACGGUCAGAAUGUAUAAAAAGACCAAAACGUCUGUCGGCGAAAAAAAAGGUUUUGACUAAAAUGAUCGCAAUUUUCAAGUAAAACCAAGGGCAAAAUUGGAAAAAAAAAUAUUAGACGAAAAUACUGUAGUUAGCGGAUUCGCACUUUAUACAUAAGUAUAGACAUGUUUUACUGCCGGUUAUAUAUCUCUAACCGAAAUAUAUCGGACUAAUAAGGGGGCUGGUGGAGCCCCCAACCUUGGCUAGUUAUAAUUCCCGCGUGAUAUGGCGAAUCGGUCAACAAACUGUGGUCAUGCAGCUUUAAUUACUACUCAAUCCGAUCCCAAAAGAAAUAGCUCUUCGUAUAAAGGGCCU